rnacentral:lncRNA from 1 species
GGUACUUGCUUCUGGGUGUUGGAGAAGAGAGGAGCUCAUUCAGCCCAGGCUGGAGUGGCAUGCUCUUCUUGGUUCCUCCGGAAGACACAGGCUUCUGAACCAAUUGCAGCCUUCUAAUUUGCCUAGCACUGCCCAGUGGUGGGGAGGAAGCACUUGUGGCCUUGAGGGUGUGAACUAGUAAGUGACUUGUGAGCUCUCUUACCUAGUGACUUACCAAGUGCUAAGUAGGGG